rnacentral:rRNA from 1 species
GACGAACGCUGGCGGCGUGCCUAAUACAUGCCAGUUGAGCGCUGAAGGUUGGUACUUGUACCAACUGGAUGAGCAGCGGACGGGUGAGUAACGCGUGGGGAAUCUGCCUUUGAGCGGGGGACAACAUUUGGAAACGAAUGCUAAUACCGCAUAAAAACUUUAAACACAAGUUUUAAGUUUGAAAGAUGCAAUUGCAUCACUCAAAGAUGAUCCCGCGUUGUAUUAGCUAGUUGGUGAGGUAAAGGCUCACCAAGGCGAUGGUACAUAGCCGACCUGAGAGGGUGAUCGGCCACAUUGGGACUGAGACACGGCCCAAACUCCUACGGGAGGCAGCAGUAGGGAAUCUUCGGCAAUGGACGAAAGUCUGACCGAGCAACGCCGCGUGAGUGAAGAAGGUUUUCGGAUCGUAAAACUCUGUUGGUAGAGAAGAACGUUGGUGAGAGUGGAAAGCUCAUCAAGUGACGGUAACUACCCAGAAAGGGACGGCUAACUACGUG